UACGUAGGUGGCAAGCGUUGUCCGGAUUUACUGGGCGUAAAGAGCGCGCAGGCGGUCGUUCAAGUCGCGUGUGAAAGCCCCCGGCUCAACUGGGGAGGGUCACGCGAUACUGAUCGACUCGAAGGCAGGAGAGGGUAGUGGAAUUCCCGGUGUAGUGGUGAAAUGCGUAGAUAUCGGGAGGAAUACCAGUGGCGAAGGCGCUGACCUGGACGAAGAUUGACGCUGAGGUGCGAAAGCGUGGGGAGCAAACAGG
rnacentral:rRNA from 1 species